rnacentral:rRNA from 1 species
UAGGUGAACCUGCGGAAGGAUCAUUAUCGAGCUAAAACCAAAAGUCUCCGAACGUGCAUGCCUUCCAUGUGCGCGUAUACGUGAGCCGCGCAGCAAGUUGCACACAUGUGGUGGUGGUGGUGGCCGUCAGCCGUGCUUUUUUGGCAGACAAUGGUCUGUAGCUUGCUGUGUGUUGAGGGGGGAUAGGUGACGUGCUGGGCUAGUUAGAAAGGUACGUCGCUAGCGCCUAUCCUCUCGUUAUUCGUAACAACGGUGUCCACUUUGGCGUCUACGCCUCACCUAGCUAUCGCCUGGACCGUCGGUAGCGAUGAAAGGUGGGGAUAAAGCUCCUCGUUUCGAGUCGAGUAGACUUAAUGAGCCUGUGGUAACGGGCCGCCGAAACCCAAACACAACCAGUCUUAUGUUUGAAUUUAUAGGAGGUGGUCUUGUCACCCCUGUUGGUGUAUGGAUCGCCUUCAAAUCGAGUUAUAAAUCUUAGCGGUGGAUCACUCGGUUCGUGGAUCGAUGAAGAACGCAGCUAGCUGCGAUAAAUAGUGCGAAUUGCAGACACAUUGAGCACUAAGAAUUCGAACGCACAUUGCGCCAUCGGGUUCGUUCCCGUUGGCACGUCUGGCUGAGGGUCGAAUUAUCGAAAACGAUCCGCGUUGGGCAGCUUCGCGCGCUAGUAGUCGGAGCGUCGCCCAUGCGGUGUAUUCGGCGAGCUAUGGUCCUAACUCGACCGUACCUUGCUAAGUGUUUGCUAUGCCAUUUGCUCGCAGUCAUUUGCUCAAUGCGAGGCGAUGAUGGCCGUCAAGUGUUGCUCUCAGAUGCGGCUCCGAGCACGUGUUGUUGUUGCUGUGUUGGUGGUUUGGUGGUGAUAUGGUUUGUUUGGAUGCAUGCAUCGACGGCUAGUGAUGAGAGUGAUGCGAGGUGGCUAUCGCUUUGUUGUUUUGACCUCAGCUCAGUCGUGACUACCCGCUGAAUUUAAGCAUAUAACUAAGCGGAGGAAAAGAAACUAA